rnacentral:rRNA from 1 species
AGAGUUUGAUCCUGGCUCAGAAUCAACGCUGGCGGCGCGCCUAACACAUGCAAGUCGAACGAGAAAGCAGGAGCAAUCUUGUGAGUAAAGUGGCGUACGGGUGAGUAACACGUGGAUUAUCUACCCUCUUGUGGGGGAUAACCCUGGGAAACCGGGGCUAAUACCGCAUAAGCUCGAGAGAGGAAAGCAGCAAUGCGCAGGAGGAGGAGUCCGCGGCCGAUUAGCUAGUUGGUAGGGUAAAAGCCUACCAAGGCUACGAUCGGUAGCCGGCCUGAGAGGGCACACGGCCACACUGGCACUGAAACACGGGCCAGACUCCUACGGGAGGCAGCAGUGGGGAAUCUUGCACAAUGGGGGCAACCCUGAUGCAGCGACGCCGCGUGAGCGAUGAAGCCCUUCGGGGUGUAAAGCUCUUUCGGCAGGGAAGAUUAUGACGGUACCUGCAGAAGCAGCUGCGGCUAACUACGUGCCAGCAGCCGCGGUAAUACGUAGGCAGCAAGCGUUGUUCGGAGUUACUGGGCGUAAAGGGUGUGUAGGCGGUUCUCUAAGUCUGGUGUGAAAUCUCCCGGCUCAACUGGGAGGGUGCGCCGAAAACUGGAGGACUAGAGUGCGGGAUGGGAGAGUGGAAUUCCUGGUGUAGCGGUGAAAUGCGUAGAUAUCAGGAGGAACACCUGUGGUGUAGACGGCUCUCUGGACCGCAACUGACGCUGAGACNNGAAAGCGUGGGUAGCAANNNGGAUUAGAUACCCNNGUAGUCC